rnacentral:misc_RNA from 1 species
GAAAGAGGAAUUUUUUUCCGGCACAUCAUGUCUGCUAUAUUGUGCGGGAAGAGAUCGAAUUUGUUUGAGGAUUUUCAGUCGUCGUCGUCUGCGUCAACGCCGGUUUCGAAGAGGAUUCGCCGUAAUUUUUCUCCGGCGAGGUCUAAUUCUGAUUCCGAUCGUGUUUUGUGUGGUAAUUUGAUUGCAUCGUCGGCACUCGAUCAUCUUCUCAUGAUUUUCUCUGACACGGACAAGCAGUUGGUUGAGAGAGCACUUGAAGAAUCCGGUGAUGAUCUAGAUUCUGCUAUCAAACGCCUGAAUGAGCUCUGCUUGGGAUCUGGUGAUAAUCUGAGGCCUGUGGCAGGAAGCUCUGGUGCUACACAUGAGUUCAGCAGCCAGGUUUUUCCUCAAGGUGUGGCUACAACUAAUGGUGAGACCCCAUCUGCAGAGGAUUUAUCUUCUGCAGAAGUGGUGCAUUUGCAGGGUACAGAAUGGGUGGAUCUUUUUGUUGGAGAGAUGAUGAGUGCAUCAAACAUAGAUGAUGCUAAAGCGCGUGCUUCACGAGCUCUGGAGGCUUUUGAGAAGACCAUAUGUGCUCGUGCAACAGAGGCAGCCUGCCGUUUCCAGAAGGAGAAUAUGAUGCUCAAGCAGCAGUUAGAAGCUCUUGUACAAGAGAAUGCUAUUUUCAAGCGAGCAGUUGCCAUCCAGCAUGAGCGUCAAAAGGAAUUCGAGAAUAGAGGGAACGAGUUGAAUCAGCUGAAGCAGUCGGUGGCUCAGUACCAGGAGCAGCUUAGAACCCUUGAGGUCAAUAACUAUGCUCUCACGAUGCACCUCAAGCAAGCUCAACAAAGCAACAACUCCAUUCCAGGGCGUUUCAACCCCGAUGUCUUUUAGUAUGUGUCAUGUCCCUAUUGGCUGUGUAACAUACAUAGGUAGCAACAGUAGUAUCCUAUCGUCACAGUAGCAGCAAGUGUUUCCUAGAGAUGAAUGACGAUAUUAAGCUAGAACUUCUGUCUAUUGAUCAAAGUGCCCUUCUGCAGUUACUAGACAAAGGGUACUUUGUUCUGUUCAUACAAGUUUUUAUUUGUUUUUCUGCUGUUGUUUCAAUUAGAGUAUCCAAAGUUCAUACAGUUCUAUUCUUCUUCUUCUGCUUUUAAGAAGAUGUUCAACACAUGAUUGUUAUGCUUUAUUUGUUUC